rnacentral:rRNA from 1 species
ACUCCUACGGGAGGCAUCAGUGGGGAAUAUUGCACAAUGGGGGAAACCCUGAUGCAGCCAUGCCGCGUGUGUGAAGAAGGCCUUCGGGUUGUAAAGCACUUUCAGUAGGGAGGAAGGUAGUGUAGUUAACACCUGCAUUAUUUGACGUUACCUACAGAAGAAGCACCGGCUAACUCCGUGCCAGCAGCCGCGGUAAUACGGAGGGUGCGAGCGUUAAUCGGAAUUACUGGGCGUAAAGCGCAUGCAGGCGGCCUGUUAAGUCAGAUGUGAAAGCCCGGGGUCUUAACCGUCGGAAUUGCAUUUGAAACUGGCAGGCUAGAGUCUUGUAGAGGGGUUAGAAUUUCAGGUGUAGCGGUGAAAUGCGUAGAGAUCUGAAGGAAUACCAGUGGCGAAGGCGGCCCCUGGACAAAGACUGACGCUCAGAUGCGAAAGCGUGGGAGCAAACAGGAUUAGA